rfam:Aquaspirillum sp. LM1, complete genome.
GGGGGCGACAUGGCUUCGACGGGGGUUGCAAAGCGGAUGAGGGCAUACCGGGAUCUCAGACCCCCGUAAAACACUGAAUUUAUAUAUUCGCAAACGACGAAUCUUACGCUCUGGCCGCUUAAUUGCGCCGGACUCUGCGCUAUCUCGCCCAUCGGGUAGGUCGGGUCAAACCGACAGCAGAGUCAUUUAGAUGGGAUCGUGCCGAUCCGGGUUACUUGGGUCGGAGCUAAACUAUAGGUAACUCGCCAAAGCACAGCCUGUCGGUCGGCGGUGUGGCGGUUAAAUCCAGUUGGCCAGACUAAGUAUGUAGAACUCACCGUAGAGGAUUUCCGGACGCGGGUUCGAUCCCCGCCGCCUCCACCA